rnacentral:rRNA from 1 species
GAUGAACGCUGACAGAAUGCUUAACACAUGCAAGUCAACUUGAACUUCGGUUUGGGUGGCGGACGGGUGAGUAACGCGUAAAGAACUUGCCUCACAGAUAGGGACAACAUUUGGAAACGAAUGCUAAUACCUGAUAUUAUGAUUUUAGGGCAUCCUAGAAUUAUGAAAGCUAUAUACACUGUGAGAGAGCUUUGCGUCCCAUUAGCUAGUUGGAGAGGUAACGGCUCACCAAGGCGAUGAUGGGUAGCCGGCCUGAGAGGGUGAUCGGCCACAAGGGGACUGAGACACGGCCCUUACUCCUACGGGAGGCAGCAGUGGGGAAUAUUGGACAAUGGACCAAGAGUCUGAUCCAGCAAUUCUGUGUGCACGAUGAAGUUUUUCGGAAUGUAAAGUGCUUUCAGUNGGGAAGAAAAAAANGA